rnacentral:tRNA from 1 species
GCCUGGGUGGCUCAGUCGGUUGAGCGUCUGACUUGAGCUCAGGUCAUGGUCCCACUGUUCAUGGGUUCGAGCCCACAUCGGGCU